UACGUAGGGGGCAAGCGUUGUCCGGAUUUACUGGGCGUAAAGCGCACGCAGGCGGUCUCCUACAUCUUGGGUGACAGGUCCCGGCUCAACUGGGGCAGUGUCCGGGAAAUGGGGAGACUUGAGGGCUUCAGAGGGACGCGGAAUUCCAGGUGGAGCGGUGAAAUGCGUAGAGAUCUGGAAGAACACCGAUGGCGAAGGCAGCGUUCUGGGAAGCAUCUGACGCUCAGGUGCGAAAGCCAGGGGAG
rnacentral:rRNA from 1 species